GACGAACGCUGGCGGCGUGCUUAACACAUGCAAGUCGAACGGAAAGGCCCUGCUUUUGUGGGGUGCUCGAGUUGCGAACGGGUGAGUAACACGUGAGUAACCUGUCAUUCACUUUGGGAUAUCUUCAGGACACUGGGGCUAAUACCGGAAAGGAGCUCCCGCUGUUUGGUGGGGGUUGGAAAGUUUCGGUGGUUGGUGAUGGACUCGCGGCCUAUCAGCUUGUUGGUGGGGUAGUGGCUUACCAAGGCUUGGACGGGUAGCCGGCCUGAGAGGGUCACCGGACACAUUAGGACUGAGAUACGGCCCGGCCUACAACGGGAGGCAACGGUGGGGAAGAUUGCACAGUGGGCGGAAGCCUGAUGCGGCAACGCCGCGUGGGGGAUGACGGCAUUCGGGUUGUAAACCGCUUUCGCCUGUGACGAAGCGAGAGUGACGGUAAUGGGUGAAGAAGCACCGGCUAACUACGUG
rnacentral:rRNA from 1 species